rnacentral:rRNA from 1 species
GAUGAACGCUGGCGGCGUGCCUAAUACAUGCAAGUCGAGCGAACGGACGAGAAGCUUGCUUCUCUGAUGUUAGCGGCGGACGGGUGAGUAACACGUGGAUAACCUACCUAUAAGACUGGGAUAACUUCGGGAAACCGGAGCUAAUACCGGAUGAUAUUUUGAACCGCAUGGUUCAAAAGUGAAAGACGGUCUUGCUGUCACUUAUAGAUGGAUCCGCGCUGCAUUAGCUAGUUGGUAAGGUAACGGCUUACCAAGGCAACGAUGCAUAGCCGGCCUGAGAGGGUGAUCGGCCACACUGGAACUGAGACACGGUCCAGACUCCUACGGGAGGCAGCAGUAGGGAAUCUUACGCAAUGGGCGAAAGCCUGACGGAGCAACGCCGCGUGAGUGAUGAAGGUCUUCGGAUCGUAAAACUCUGUUAUUAGGGAAGAACAUAUGUGUAAGUAACUGUGCACAUCUUGACGGUACCUAAUCAGAAAGCCACGGCUAACUACGUG